GCGUGACGGCGCGAGCAGGUGCGAAAGCAGGUCAUAGUGAUCCGGUGGUUCUGAAUGGAAGGGCCAUCGCUCAACGGAUAAAAGGUACUCCGGGGAUAACAGGCUGAUACCGCCCAAGAGUUCAUAUCGACGGCGGUGUUUGGCACCUCGAUGUCGGCUCAUCACAUCCUGGGGCUGAAGUAGGUCCCAAGGGUAUGGCUGUUCGCCAUUUAAAGUGGUACGCGAGCUGGGUUUAGAACGUCGUGAGACAGUUCGGUCCCUAUCUGCCGUGGGCGCUGGAGAACUGAGGGGGGCUGCUCCUAGUACGAGAGGACCGGAGUGGACGCAUCACUGGUGUUCGGGUUGUCAUGCCAAUGGCACUGCCCGGUAGCUAAAUGCGGAAGAGAUAAGUGCUGAAAGCAUCUAAGCACGAAACUUGCCCCGAGAUGAGUUCUCCCUGAGACUUAGAGUCUCCUGAAGGAACGUUGAAGACGACGACGUUGAUAGGCCGGGUGUGUAAGCGCAGCGAUGCGUUGAGCUAACCGGUACUAAUGAACCGUGAGGCUUAACCUUACA
rnacentral:rRNA from 1 species